AUACGGAGGGUGCAAGCGUUAUUCGGAAUCACUGGGCGUAAAGGGUGCGUAGGCGGUUUGAUAAGUCUGAUGUGAAAUCCUAUGGCUCAACCAUAGAACUGCAUUGGAAACUGUCAGACUAGAAUACUGAAGGGGCAGAUGGAAUUAGUGGUGUAGGGGUAAAAUCCGUAGAUAUCACUAGGAAUACCGAAAGCGAAAGCGAUCUGCUGGGAAGUUAUUGACGCUGAGGCACGAAAGCGUGGGGAGCAAACGGGAUUAGAAACCCCGUAGUCC
rnacentral:rRNA from 1 species